GACAGAGGGUGCAAGCGUUGUUCGGAAUCAUUGGGCGUAAAGCGCGCGUAGGCGGUCAACUAAGUCGGACGUGAAAGCCCGGGGCUCAACCUCGGAAGUGCAUCCGAAACUGAUUGACUGGAGUCCUGGAGAGGGUAGCGGAAUUCCUGGUGUAGAGGUGAAAUUCGUAGAUAUCAGGAGGAACACCGGUGGCGAAGGCGGCUACCUGGACAGUGACUGACGCUGAGGCGCGAAAGCGUGGGGAGCAAACAGG
rnacentral:rRNA from 1 species